CUAGGAUGAAUAUUAUAAGAAGUAAGUACAUAUGACAUUAGCGAAUAAUGGUUUUAGUUCCCUACUUAAUUGCAUGUCGUAUAAAAUUGCCACUUUUUAUUUAAGUUUUUGUCCUUCAACUUUGGCACCAAGUUCAUAUGUAACCAAGAGAUCUACAUGAUACUCCCAACUGCGAAAAUACUAAUUGCAUAUCAUGGAAGCUCAAUGUACGUCCAAUGAAAUUGGAGCAAUUCCAAAUUUAGUAACAAUGGAGCUUCUGCACGCAGAAAAAGUUUACUGAAAGCUGAAAUCGCCUACCAGUAAAAGGUAUGAAAGACUUCUCAAGAAUAGUGUUAUUCAUCCGAAUAUUACUUUGGGAAAAAUGAAGAAAAAAUAAAAAUAAAUCUAGAUUGUGGAGAGAAACUGGACUUGUUUUAGCAACCAGAAUAGGAACAAAACAAAUUCACACUUCAUAUCCUCUAAACCAAUCAAGUUGUAUGAUGCUUAUUAAAUGCCAAAUUAAAGGUAAAGAAAAAUGAUGUCAGCUUUGACUAGUAUGGCUUUUCUUGUAUUGAAUCCUUUGUCAAACUAGCAAGAAGUGUUUGUUAUGGUUCUCAUCAACAAGGGAAAGAAAUUUGGAACUUCUAAGAAAUAUCAAAAUGCUUGUAAAAAAGACGCAUAGGUCAAAUUUUCUCUGUUGAUAGUUUGCUAGCAAUAUCUCUAGUUUCCCAACUAUUAAGAGCACAAGAUAUGAACAUAUAAUUCCUUAAGUCCAUGAAUUAAAACAUAAACAGGGAACAAUUAUUAUUAAGAACAUAUUGGAUGCACACAGUAUUCAGUUUUCUUUUUAGAUACAGAUGCAGUACAGAAUAGCUAGAACUACUCUGUUUUAUUUGUAGAAAUGUUUCAGGGUCACCAUACAAUCAAGAUGCAGAAUGUUAAAUCCCGAGCGAAAAAUUUGAGGCUGAAAACACACCUGACAUUCGUAAUAAAGCCCGGCAUACAAAGAAGCAUAGAAAUAUUCACUCUCUCGGCCACUUGAAAAGGCUUCAACAAGCUGUUCAGAGAAACCAUUUGCUUUCAUCAAAAAUAAUUGUGAGACAUUAAAAAGGCACAUUAUAUCUGAUGCAUUUAAUGUAAUCCUUUUGAAUAAAAAUAUUCCGUAUAAAACUAUCGCAUGGAGAUAAAAUAUGGUUUACUCGAAGGAAGUUGGAAAAUAUAUAUCUCUUGGGCUAUCCUUUAAGAUGAUUGUGAGUUUUGGAGACUUCUCAGAGCUACUUUUUGGUAAAAGGACAGUGGGAACCCUUCCCUGAUUUCGUAAAACAUAUUGAGCUUCAUGUAUCAACUGUGGUAAUAUGUAAUUACACAAACUUUUUGUAGACCUCGAAAGUUCAUAGUGCUCAAUCCAAUGAAGCACCACUAGGACAUGUCAACUCUACACGACAUGAGUGGGACACAAUUGAAAAGAUGUAUUAGGCCCUGGUCGAGGGCAAGUAAAUAAUAUGCACUCAUACUCAUACAUAAAAAAAGAAGAAGCAACCUUGCUUAAUUCAAC
rnacentral:lncRNA from 1 species